rnacentral:lncRNA from 1 species
CUGGUGGUGACCUUUACAAGAUUUCACGGGACUGUUCCUUCAAUAUGCAGCUCCCCAGAGGCCCCCUGCUUGGAUGCCCAUUCUUCUAGACUCAAGUCCUGCCUGCCUAAAAGAUGAGACAGGCCAGUGUCUUAUAGAGUGAACCAGUAAGUGGGGGAGGGCAGUGUUAGGAGAUAGCCCUUGUCUCCAAAUUCUUGCAUAGUAGGAGAUGAUUUUGUGUGGCUUGAAAGUCACACCUUGGUACCCCAAGUCCUUCUGCUCAUUCACACUUGUUCGGAGAGGUGACUAAUGCCAGGGAUAUGAGACCCUUCCUGGCAAAGCAGGCUCCUGAAAUGUGAGGCCCUCAAGACGAUCUGUCAGGCUUUCUAAGAAGGCAGAGGUCUGGGAGAGAGCAGCUGAGACCAGGAAUCACUUGUGCAGGACCUGGAGAAUGAGCACGGCGCCUGUCACAUGCAUACCUGGGUAAGUGGUUGUGGAUGAAGGAAAAACAGUCCACGGGGGCUGCCAUUUGAUUCCCAGAACAACAGUGUAAGUCAACAGCACAGGAAUAUGAGCCCCAACUUCCUGAAAAGAAAAAAAAAAAAGAAAAAAAAAAAGGCUCUUCCAGGAGCGCAGGGCCUUACUUUAAGAUCACCUGACCCCUGGAGCUGGCACCAGGGCUAUGGUGCAGUCUGGAAGCUCUGAGAUUCUCCAAAGGCAUGUCUCCCUUUGCAGCGGCUUGAAGUACCUCCUACACAGGUGCUUUCCAAGCAGUUCGUAAGAAGGCCCCUUUCAUCUCUCUGGUGCCCUAGCCCCACGCCCAGGCUUUGAAAGAGUUGGCCUAGCAAAUGAACUACAAUUACGUAGUAAUAAUGAUUCAAUUUUCUCAUUUUUUAUUAAUAA